rnacentral:rRNA from 1 species
GGGCCCCCGCGGUGCAUUAGCUAGUUGGUAAAGGUAAAAGGGCUUACCAAGGCGAUGAUGCAUAGCCGAGUUGAGAGACUGAUCGGCCACAUUGGGACUGAGACACGGCCCAAACUCCUACGGGAGGCAGCAGUAGGGAAUCUUCCACAAUGGACGCAAGUCUGAUGGAGCAACGCCGCGUGAGUGAAGAAGGUUUUCGGAUCGUAAAGCUCUGUUGUUGGUGAAGAAGGAUAGAGGUAGUAACUGGCCUUUAUUUGACGGUAAUCAACCAGAAAGUCACGGGCUAACUACGUGCCAGCAGCCGCGGUAAU